rnacentral:rRNA from 1 species
UAGGCAAUUAUUCCUGUAAUGGUUUUUUGUUUAAAUGUUUUUUCGCCUAAGGAUGAGUCUGCGGCCGAUUAGGUAGUUGGUUAGGUAAUGGCUUACCAAGCCGUUGAUCGGUACGGGUUGUGAGAGCAAGAGCCCGGAGAUGGAACCUGAGACAAGGUUCCAGGCCCUACGGGGUGCAGCAGGCGCGAAACCUCCGCAAUGUGAGAAAUCGCGACGGGGGGAUCCCAAGUGCCAUUCUUAACGGGAUGGCUUUUCAUUAGUGUAAAGAGCUUUUGGAAUAAGAGCUGGGCAAGACCGGUGCCAGCCGCCGCGGUAACACCGGCAGCUCUAGUGGUAACAAUUUUUAUUGGGCCUAAAGCGUCCGCAGCCGGUUUAAUAAGUCUCUGGUGAAAUCCUGCAGCUUAACUGUGGGAAUUGCUGGAGAUACUAUUAGACUUGAGACCGGGAGAGGUUAGAGGUACUCCCAGGGUAGAGGUGAAAUUCUGUAAUCCUGGGAGGACCGCCUGUUGCGAAGGCGUCUAACUGGAACGGUUCUGACGGUGAGGGACGAAAGUUAGGGGCGCGAACCGGAUUAGAUACCCGGGUAGUCCUAACUGUAAACGAUGCGGACUUGGUGUUGGGGUGGCUUUGAGCUGCUUCAGUGCCGAAGGGAAGCUGUUAAGUCCGCCGCCUGGGAAGUACGGUCGCAAGACUGAAACUUAA